CUUGCGCCCCGGCUUGAACGGAACUCCUUUUUGCUUGCCUAAAAUUUCUAAAUUAUUAAACAAUUUUCUUGCAAAAAGAGUGGGAGUGGAAGACGGAAAUGUGC
rnacentral:misc_RNA from 1 species